rnacentral:pre_miRNA from 14 species
UUUUAAGUUUUGAAAGACCCCCGGAGUGGGGAGACCCUCACUCAAGUCUCGGGAUGAUGCAACCCCCCAAGAACUCACACAAGAUA